GACAGAGGGUGCAAACGUUGUUCGGAAUUACUGGGCGUAAAGCGCGUGUAGGCUGCUUCGCAAGUCGGGUGUGAAAGCCCUGGGCUCAACCUAGGAAGUGCACUCGAAACUGCGAGCUUGAGUCCUGGAGAGGAAGGCGGAAUUCUCGGUGUAGAGGUGAAAUUCGUAGAUAUCGAGAGGAACACCGGUGGCGAAGGCGGCCUUCUGGACAGUGACUGACGCUGAGACG
rnacentral:rRNA from 1 species